rnacentral:rRNA from 1 species
UACGUAGGGUGCGAGCGUUGUCCGGAAUUAUUGGGCGUAAAGAGCUUGUAGGCGGUCUGUCGCGUCUGCUGUGAAAAUCCGGGGCUCAACCCCGGACUUGCAGUGGGUACGGGCAGACUAGAGUGUGGUAGGGGAGACUGGAAUUCCUGGUGUAGCGGUGAAAUGCGCAGAUAUCGGGAGGAACACCAAUUGCGAAGGCAGCUCGCUGGGACGUAACUGACGCUGAGACGCGAAAGCGUGGGGAGCAAACAGG